rnacentral:rRNA from 1 species
UACGAGGGGGGCAAGCGUUGUUCGGAAUUAUUGGGCGUAAAGGGCGCGUAGGCGGUGCGGUAAGUCACCUGUGAAAUCUCCUGGCUCAACUGGGAGCUUGCAGGCGAAACUGCCGUGCUGGAGUGUGGGAGAGGUGCGUGGAAUUCCUGGUGUAGCGGUGAAAUGCGUAGAUAUCAGGAGGAACACCUGUGGCGAAGGCGGCUCACUGGCCCGAUACUGACGCUGAGGCACGAAAGCGUGGGGAGCAAACAGG